CCCAAUCUCUUCUCUACGUAAAUCCCUAACUAUUUCCCAAAUUCCCAAUCUCAUAACCUUACCUAGAUCUUGUCUUCUCCACGCAAAUCCCCCACCAGCUAGCAUUCGAAAUCACAAGAAUAUCGAACUGGAGUGAGCCUAUAUAAUGCAAAAAAAGCACAUUGUAACCAACAUCGUUCAUCAGAGAAAGAGAGUAGCGGAUGAGACAAGUUCCUGCGUCUGCAACAGAUCUUGCAGUUUCAGCUUCGACACCAGCGGCUACUUAAACUGAGCUCCUGUUGAAGGGAAGGGUUCCAGACCAGCCUUAGAACCAACCUCAGACCAUUCUCAAGAACCCAGAAGCAACAAGAAGAGAAAGUUGUCUCUGUGAGCUAGACAGCGAGUCACCAUUCAUCCAACUAUUUAGACAAUUCAGAAAAUUAGUAGUUGUGAUUGAUUGGAGUUGUGGAGCAAAGAGAACCAAUCUGAUUCCGAAGAUAGCUCCUGGUACAAGAAGGACCCUAGCUAGACGUGCAAAUGUUGUUCGAAUGAAUCAUAGUCCUGUACGGACUCCUGAAAUUGCUGCAAACACUGACAAUAUUGUGGCAAAGAACAUGAGAGGGAAGACUAGAGGAGUUGGAUGUGAAAGAGUCAUACAAACAGCGAACUCGAAGUUGCAUGUAGACUUUCAAAAAGAAGAUGGAAUACCUACUGGAGUAAAUGCAUCAAAGUUGAGUACUGAGGUAGGAAUAGUUGCGAGGAACUAUGCCCCGAUUAGAGUGCUUACUUGGAAGAAAGUUCCCUAUGAUGUCGAAAAACAAAUGAUUGCUCGUAUCACGGUAAUGUAGUUUAAUAUCAUUAUCCAUAUUCUCAUAUUUCCUUAUGAAAAUAAUAUAUAAUACCCAUAUAAGUUUAAUGCAUGUACAUUAUUGAUGAAUUUAUAUCAAUUUUGACA